CUGCUCGGGCAGCGACGACAUGUCCCCACGUCUCUUCAUUGUUGGCUCAAGUGCUUAUCCCCUUGACCGAUGUCGGUUUCCUGUGUUGAAUACCUAUCGCGAAGGGAUUUUAUCGGCUUGAUUGUCCCUUUCCCCCUUGUACUGCUGUGCCUUUUGGCGUAGCGGUGCGGGGUGGACCUCAAAGCACCUGCCGUGUAUCAUGAUCCAAGCACUUCGAUGCGAGUGCUCGGGUUGAUGAUCCAUGGAGAUGUGCUCCAUCUCUCGGAUGCGGAACACGGAUCGGGCAUGAGGCCCUCGGCCUCUAUUCGCCCCCUUAAAAAAGCGUCCCACGCUUUGUGCGAACGACUGUCGGUUCCGGUUUUGGUCGAGAGCCCCCUGCGGCUCACGUCAAGCCGGGCCGAUGUCGGUGAGGAAUGCUACCUGGUUGAUCC
rnacentral:misc_RNA from 1 species